AUUCUGCCCAUGCGGGGAAGGAUGAGAAGCUUCGACCAAGCUCAGACUCGAGCCACAGCGAGAAAUGGUAGCCGCAGGCAACAACCGGAAAGGUGAAGCACCUGGCGGCGAGAAAGCCUCACCCCACCCCAC
rnacentral:sRNA from 1 species